rnacentral:rRNA from 1 species
GUGCCAGCAGCCGCGGUAAGACGUAGGGCGCGAGCGUUGUCCGGAUUUAUUGGGCGUAAAGAGCUCGUAGGCGGCUUGUCGCGUCGACCGUGAAAACUCGCAGCUCAACUGCGAGCCUGCGGUCGAUACGGGCAGGCUAGAGUUCGGUAGGGGAGACUGGAAUUCCUGGUGUAGCGGUGAAAUGCGCAGAUAUCAGGAGGAACACCGAUGGCGAAGGCAGGUCUCUGGGCCGAUACUGACACUGAGGAGCGAAAGCGUGGGGAGCGAACAGGAUUAGAUACCCUGGUAGUCC